ACAAUAUCUAACCUCGCUCCAUCAAGUCAUCUAUUAUUCCUCUCCCUCGACCAUUCCUUGCCUACCCACAGAAAAUCUACACAAAAUUGACUGCUUAAGUUUCUUUCCUCUGUGAUUGCAAUUCCUCUUCCUCCAUCAUCGACUAUCAGGAUUACGUGCUCGCAUCCUCCUUCCGGAAACCCUCUCCCAAAGCCUCUUUCUUAUUGGAAGAUGUGCUUGAACCGAAGCAGCAGCAGCGGCGGCCUAAGCAUCCAAUUUAGAAGUAAGGAUGGAGACUCCGUUGGCAUAGGCGCAAAUGAGGCCUUUCCUCUCACAAUUGAGGCAACAACCAUCAUAAUGUAGGGACAUUGCAUUUCCCACACCUUCUUUCAACUUACUCACGUGAAACCAGCACUUUUGAUUUUGAUUAACUACUCCAAUUUCACUCCUUGCAUGCUGUUUCUGUCUGAGAAACGACAGAGUACUCUGAAAACUCGGGCCUGAAAACUAAGUGCAGAUACAACACAAGAUUAAGGAGCAAGUUAGAGAGGUUAAAGAGGCGCAUGCAGAUGGUUGCAAAGAAACCGGAUACACAAACUGCACAUAUAGUAGAGAUUCUUCGAUGUCUCGGUGAGUUUAAUUUCAUUAUGGAACCGACGUUGGAUUUCAAGGUGUCGAGAAGAUGUUUGGAGAGAGGUUCAAGCGAGGAGGAAAUGAAGAAGUCGUGGAAGGGAGUCCAAAGAGAAUAGAGCUGUUAGACCACACAAAAUGAUUUUGCUUCGAAAGAUUCUAUUUUUGAAGGCCCAUCUUGGAAAGGAUGCAGAAUUGCUUGCUCACGCUUUCAUUGGAAAUGCUUCUUCUUCUGAUGGUACCAAUAUACUUGAAACCAUUUAAAAAGCAUGGUCUUUGGACUUCUCAGAGCUGCCAGGACAGGAAAAAUACCCACAGAACAAAGUACACAUGGAGCACAAUCUACUCCAAGAUCUCACUCAUGACUGGUUUGUUAUAGUUCGAUACCCACAAAACAAUACCAAAGGAGCAAUGUCUACACAACAAAUAUCAUCUGAUGAUGAAGAAGAACCAUUGGUGUUUAAAAAGAAAACAAGGUAGCCCCGACAAAGCUUACACAACGUGUAUCAUUUGAUCAUGAAGAAAUCAAGGAGACAGAUGGCAUUACAUCCUCUGAUGAAGAACAAACUUCAAUUCAAAUCUACAUGACAAACACAUCUAAGAGAACCAGAGUUAGUGGUACGAACACCAUGAGGAAGCCAAAAAGACAGGAAAAGAAUAAAAAGUGUAAUUCUAUGUAACGCUUACAUUCCAUUUCCUGCAAUUUACAUACUAUUUUAUUUCUAAAUCAAAAGUUUAUUUUAAUUUCAAUAAAAUAUUUUAAAUCAUGUAGUAAUACAUUUUUCCCCACUCAUGCGCGAUAUGUAGUGAUACAUUUUGAGUGUCUUAACAACGAUCAUUACUAUGGUAAAGAAUUUUCGGGAAAUU